rnacentral:rRNA from 1 species
GUAGUCAUAUGCUUGUCUCAAAGAUUAAGCCAUGCAUGUCUAAGUAUAAGCAAUCAUACUGUGAAACUGCGAAUGGCUCAUUAAAUCAGUUAUCGUUUAUUUGAUAGUACCUUUACCUGGAUAACCGUGGUAAUUCUAGAGCUAAUACAUGCUAAAAACCCCGACUUCGGAAGGGGUGUAUUUAUUAGAUAAAAAACCAAUGCCCUCUGGGCUCCUUGGUGAUUCAUAAUAACUUAACGAAUCGCAUGGCCUUGCGCCGGCGAUGGUUCAUUCAAAUUUCUGCCCUAUCAACUUUCGAUGGUAAGAUAGAGGCUUACCAUGGUCUUAACGGGUAACGGAGAAUUAGGGUUCGAUUCCGGAGAGGGAGCCGGAGGAACGGCUACCACAUCCAAGGAAGGCAGCAGGCGCGCAAAUUACCCAAUGCUAAUUCAGCGAGGUAGUGACAAUAAAUACUGAUACGGGGCUCUUUCGGGUCUCGUAAUUGGAAUGAGUACAAUCUAAAUCCCUUAACGAGGAACAAUUGGAGGGCAAGUCUGGUGCCAGCAGCCGCGGUAAUUCCAGCUCCAAUAGCGUAUAUUAAAGUUGUUGCCGUUAAAAAGCUCGUAGUUGAACCUUGGACCUGGCUGAUCUGUCCUCCUAAUCGAGCGCACGGAUUCGGUCGGGUCUUUCCUUCUGGGGAGCCCUAUGCCCUUCACUGGGUGUAGUGGGGAACCAGGACUUUUACCUUGAAAAAAUUAGAGUGUUCAAAGCAGGCCUUUGCUCGAAUACAUUAGCAUGGAAUAAUAGAAUAGGACAUCGGUUCUAUUUUGUUGGUUUCUAGGACCGCUGUAAUGAUUAAUAGGGAUAGUCGGGGGCGUCAGUAUUCAAUUGUCAGAGGUGAAAUUCUUGGAUUUAUUGAAGACUAACUACUGCGAAAGCAUUCGCCAAGGAUGUUUUCAUUAAUCAGUGAACGAAAGUUAGGGGAUCGAAGACGAUCAGAUACCGUCGUAGUCUUAACCAUAAACUAUGCCGACUAGGGAUCGGACGGUGGUUUUUUUAUGCCCCGUUCGGCACCUUACGAGAAAUCAAAGUUUUUGGGCUCGGGGGGGAGUAUGGUCGCAAGGCUGAAACUUAAAGGAAUUGACGGAAG